UCUAUAUAUCCAAAUUACACCCUUUCUUACCGUAUAUAUCCAAAUCACACCCUUUUUACUCCAAAGCCACCCACUCCCUCACCCUCACCCCGCACCCCUACACCCCUUUCUUUUAUUUUUUUUCUCACACCUCCACAACUAUCCCCACUCCACACCCCUUUCUUUUAUUUUUUUCUUACACCUUCACCUCUAAUCCACCCCACCCCACC
rnacentral:lncRNA from 1 species